rnacentral:rRNA from 1 species
GCAGCCGCGGUAAUACGUAGGGGGCUAGCGUUAUCCGGAAUUACUGGGCGUAAAGGGUGCGUAGGUGGUUUCUUAAGUCAGAGGUGAAAGGCUACGGCUCAACCGUAGUAAGCCUUUGAAACUGGGAAACUUGAGUGCAGGAGAGGAGAGUGGAAUUCCUAGUGUAGCGGUGAAAUGCGUAGAUAUUAGGAGGAACACCAGUUGCGAAGGCGGCUCUCUGGACUGUAACUGACACUGAGGCACGAAAGCGUGGGGAGCAAACAGGAUUAGAUACCCU